GACGAACGCUGGCGGCGUGCUUAACACAUGCAAGUCGAACGGAAAGGCCCUGCUUUUGUGGGGUGCUCGAGUGGCGAACGGGUGAGUAACACGUGAGUAACCUGCCCUUGACUUUGGGAUAACUUCAGGAAACUGGGGCUAAUACCGGAUAGGAGCUCCUGCUGCAUGGUGGGGGUUGGAAAGUUUCGGCGGUUGGGGAUGGACUCGCGGCUUAUCAGCUUGUGGGUGGGGUAGUGGCUUACCAAGGCUUUGACGGGUAGCCGGCCUGAGAGGGUGACCGGCCACAUUGGGACUGAGAUACGGCCCAGACUCCUACGGGAGGCAGCAGUGGGGAAUAUUGCACAAUGGGCGGAAGCCUGAUGCAGCAACGCCGCGUGCGGGAUGACGGCCUUCGGGUUGUAAACCGCUUUCGCCUGUGACGAAGCGGGAGUGACGGUAAUGGGUAAAGAAGCACCGGCUAACUACGUG
rnacentral:rRNA from 1 species